UAUUGGAUGUUUUGGUGUUUCAAUGUGCAUUCACGCUGAUCGAUCCGGGCCGGGCCCAGAUCGCGGGGUGGAAAUUAGCUGCUGCCGCAAUAAAUCGCGGCAAGCAAAAGAGGUUGGUACUGCCGGCGCCCAGGGGCGCCGGCCGGGGGUGAUAACGGCGGGCCUUGCGGCCACGCCCAAUCAGUAAUGAUCCUUCCGCAGGUUCACCUACGGAAA
rnacentral:misc_RNA from 1 species